AGGCGACACACAACUAUGCCUGAUUUUUCUUCCCUAGGUGUCGCCUCGAACUAUGACACUUUAGAUAUGAGAGAUAAUAACCUGACCACGUUGGAUAAUACAAGUUUUGUCGGUGCCCCUUUCAAAACAGUUUAUUUAUCACAUAAUAAUUUGGCCGACAGAUUUAUUUCAGCAGGUGCUUUUGAAGGAUUAGUUGAUUCUGUCAAAAUUCUUGAUCUUGGUUAUAAUAAUAUUCAAAAGCUGCCAGUUGCUCUGAAAGAGUUAAAAAUGAUUGAGGAAUUAGAUGUAUCCCAUAAUCCAAUGCGGUUCUCAAACUCCUUCCCUGCUGACAUUAUGAGAGCUAUGGGAGAUACGAUCACUGCUUUCACUUUCGGAAACAACCAGUUGGUCAGCUGGCCAGAGUCUUUGAAUCACUUUGUUCAGCUUCAAAAACUUCAUGUGGAUCAACUUGGAUCAUUUAUGCAGGUCUUGACUCCAGAGGCAUUUCACGGCUUUGAGACAACACUUUUAUACUUGAAGAUUGAGAAAACUAAUUUAAUCGCUGUACCCAUUGGAAUAAGCAAGCUAAAAAAUCUAGAAGAGCUUCAUUUUGACGACAACCCCCAGAUAACCGAUAAAGGUGUUCUUAUCCAGUCGUUCCCGACAAACACCGACAGUCCUAAACUCAGGAUAGUCAGUUUAGAUGGUGAUGGUCUAACUAAAUUUCCACCAGUCCUUAAAUAUCUUAGAGCCCUUAAUAAAUUAAGUUUAGACAGAAACCUGCUUGACUUUCUAAGUGAUGCCUCUAUCAGUGGUAAUGUGACUGCAGCAGAGCUGUCAUUGGUCAACUGUGGUCUAGACCGAAUCCCAGGAGCGCUCUCUGAUUUACAUUACCUUACUCAUCUCGAUUUGUCUCAAAAUGACAUAAGAACGAUCGAACAUAACGAUCUUGAGAACCUUCCAACUCUUGAGCAAUUGGUCAUUCAAAACGCCUCUCUAGAAUACAUUUCGAAUAAUGCUUUUUCAGCUCUACACCGCCUGGAUAGUUUGGACUUUAGGCAAACCAAUCUCAAGCAGGUGCCCGAUGCCUUGAAUGCGAUGUAUCCAUGUCCUGCUAAAGUAGAUCUCAUCGGAAAUAAAGUAGAUUGUAUGUGUGAGACCCUUGUGUGGCUCGCAGCUAAAACUGAGUGGUGCCAGAAUCACGGAUCGCCAAUGGAUAUUACAGGGGACUGCGACACCAUUGCCUCCACAGUGAAAAACUAUGUUACAAAGUAUAUCCCAAAUUGUCCACAGUACAAAGUUGACAACAAUAUUGCACCGUAUAACCACGGCUAAUUUGCUGUUGAUGAGUUUUCACGUUUUAAUGUUUUGUUUUUAGCUUUAGAUACUGGUGAAUUGUACUAUGAAUGUUCCUUCAGACAUUACAAAAUUAACUUUUAUUCAUUAAAUGCAAUUUCAUGCUCUUUUUACUUUGUAUCUAAAACUUUAAUUUUCUAUUUGUCAUAAACAUGAAUUUAUUGAAUCUUAGUACAUGUAUCAUUAUGGUAAUAAAUGGUUUACUCAAGCAAACCUUUAAAAACGUGACUU
rnacentral:misc_RNA from 1 species